rnacentral:rRNA from 1 species
UAGGGAAUCUUCCGCAAUGGGCGAAAGCUUGACGGAGCAACGCCGCGUGAGUGAUGAAGGUCUUCGGAUCGUAAAACUCUGUUAUUAGGGAAGAACAAAUGUGUAAGUAACUAUGCACGUCUUGACGGUACCUAAUCAGAAAGCCACGGCUAACUACGUGCCAGCAGCCGCGGUAAUACGUAGGUGGCAAGCGUUAUCCGGAAUUAUUGGGCGUAAAGCGCGCGUAGGCGGUUUUUUAAGUCUGAUGUGAAAGCCCACGGCUCAACCGUGGAGGGUCAUUGGAAACUGGAAAACUUGAUUGCAGAAGAGGAAAGUGGAAUUCCAUUUGUAGCGGUGAAAUGCGCAGAGAUAUGGGGGAACACCAGUGGCGAAGGCGACUUUCUGGUCUGUAACUGACGCUGAUGUGCGAAAGCGUGGGGAUCAAACAGG